rnacentral:rRNA from 1 species
GACGAACGCUGGCGGCGCGCUUAACACAUGCAAGUCGAGCGAAGCGGCGGACGGGUGAGUAACACGUGAGUAACAUGCCUUAGACAUUGGGAUAGCCUCGGGAAACCGGGAUUAAUAACAAAUGGUCUAAGAAGGACUCGCGUCCCAUUAGCUAGUUGGUGGGUAACGGCCCACCAAGGAGACGAUGGGUAGCCGGCCAGAGAGGGGGAACGGCCACAUUGGACCUGAGCAACGGUCCAAACUCUACGGGAGGCAGCAGUGGGGAAUAUUGCACAAUGGAGGGAACUCUGAUGCAGCGACGCCGCGUGAGCGAAGAAGGCUUUCGAGUCGUAAAGUACUUUUAUAUGGGAAGCGGUACCAUAAGAAAAAGCCCCGGCUAACUACGUGCCAGCCGCCGCGGUAAUAC